UCUAUCCUUUAUGUGUUCCACCUCUGCUUGGAGGACUCAGCCUCCUCCUAAGAAUCACGUUAAAUAUGCUUUCCUCUCUACACAAAUAAUUUGCUUUUGUUACAGGAAAUCCAGAAGGCAGAGAGGAAGGUAAAAAUUGCCUACAACACCAUCAUCCAGAGAUCACCACUAUCAGCAUUCUGGCUGUUCCCCUGCCUUUGACAUCUCUAUCUCCCAACCUGCUGUGACACUCACUUUAAGAUCCAGGGUCCUGGUUCCCGAACCAGCCACAGAGUGACAUCAGCAGUGUUAGCCAGACCCAGGAUGUGGACGUGCACUGGAAGGGUUCGACUCCAGGGCAAAUCCAGGCGGAGGGUAUGGAGGUAGAGCUACCGUCUGUCACCACACAAACCAUUAAGGAAGCCUUUCCCCUUUAAGGGCUGUCAUUGCAGUAGUAACGAGUGGCUCAUUUAGCAGAGAUUCCCAGAGGAAGCAAGGAGAGCGAAGUUGAAUUAUGCCCCAUCUACACAUACCCAGGUAUGUGCUGGAGUUUAAGAAGAUGUAGCCCAGGAAUACCCAGAGAAAAGAAAUCAACACAUUUAGGAAGCCAAAUUCACUUACUGGUGCCAAAUGCUUUGUUGUUAAUAAAAACGUUUGUUCAAAAAGGCCCAGUGACAUUCAGGGAAUCAUGAGCUGAAAUCUCCCACCG